UUUCCUUUAACACAUUUUCUGUGAGACAAUUAGGACCCUGUUUGAAAAAUAAAGGAAGUGAAGUCUCCAUCGCACCCCCUGUCAGCAUCCCCAGAGCCCAGCAUUUGUGUUUCCGAGAGGCUCUGGAGCACCACAAGACAUCAUUCACAGAGGGGCUUGGAAGAUGGUAUUACCUUUAGACGAAAAACCACCAGGCCAAGGUGCCUCUUGGCAGGAAUUUCAAAGGAAGGGUCGUUUCUGACCAGAGAUUCAAAAUAUUUAGCCAUUUCAGUACCCUGGAAUUGCAAGUAUAAAGAGAACUGAGAUUAAUCAUCAGACAAGAGACUAUGCAUAAACUUUCAGACUGCUAAAUGGUUUUAAACCAGGGCCAUCUUCCCGUCACAGCCGUUGUAAGCGGCUUCUGCCUCAUUGUCAUCUCCAUUUGAUUUUGCUCAUAUUCCAAGCUGGAAAAUUUCCAAUGGCGCCCUGUUUCCUGUCACAUGGGAUCCACCUCGAGAACUCAUCUCAGGGCCCUCUUUCAACUCAGCCCCAGAACCCAGAAGGCAUGUGCUUUGCAGUCCAGGCAACCCGGCCUCAACUCCUGAUUUCACAGCUCCUUGACUGGCCAAGUGGGCAAGUGAGGGCCAAAACCCAGUCCAUGCUCUGCGUUCCCAGCCAGGUGCCUCAUGCGAGCUGCGUGUGCCUAAAGGAAGAGAUGCCUGUUUGUAGUGCACAUCAAGUUGCCAUAUGGGCUAGUGGCGGCCCUGCCCCAUCCUAAGCCUACAUGCUUCACUUGCCUCUCAAACCUCUUCUCACCCUGUACCCCAAAUGCCCUUUUCAUCCCCUGUUUCUGACAUUCCAUAGAGAACAUAUUUUCACAUCUUGUCUCCACCCAUCAUGGAAAGGUUUUGGACCUGGUUAAUGGAUACAGAGUUUCUGCUCGGGAUGAUGAAAAAAUUCUGGAAAUAAUGGUGAUGGUCACACCACAUUACUCUGGGGCCAACCCUCCCCAGUGCUCAGUGACAGCAAGGGGAACGGUGAGACACUCAGCAGAGGACAGGCAUCAGGCAGCCCUCAGGGCAUGUUGUGCUCAGCGCUCCUCUGGUUAACAAAGAGAAUCAAGUCCCAGGAGCUGAGGAACAGGCCCAGACACCUGAACCACACACCGCAAGUCUCCUAGGCAGAUCUGCAAAGUAGAAACCAGCCUUCCUCGCCAUGAGAAAACAGAGGAACACAGGCUCAGCCCCCACAGCAGCAUGCUACAUACAUGUCUGACAUGUGCUUGAAGAUUCUUCACCCCGAAGGACCGAAUCACGAACCAGAGUUUAACAGAGCGAAACCGUCGGCUCAGGGGGAUCUGCCAGUGCUAGAAACAAAGGAACACAGUGCCCAAGGUUAGAGACAAGGGUGCCCCACUCCCUCGGGCAUUUCUGGGCAUUAUCUGUUGCCUGCCCAGCCCUCCAGGGAUGGACGAUGUCACCAUGACUCUGGGAGCUGUUGCUAAGGAGUAAGCCAAGCUCCCCAAGGGUUGCCCCAUCGUGUGACCAAAUCACUGAUGAAGGUGGCCAAUAGUCACUUGUCUGAGAGCCAGACAAGUGGAAGUCAAGUCCAUUACCCUGAACCAAUGAGAAGGGCACUUUGCUUUCAAGUGCUGCUUUAAACAUUUCAUCCCGGCCCAGAAACUCAACAUAAGGGAAAUACAUUUUUACUCUAAAUGAAUCUUUAUUCCUUGAAUAGCAGAAAAUAAAGUUCUAUUUUUAUUCCUCCCAAAAUGUAAAGUAUGGUAGUUAGAGCACAGACACUAGAGCCCUGCAGACCUAGGUUUCGCCUCCAGCUGUGCCACUUACUAGCUGUGUGACCUUGGGUAGUGCCACCUCACUGGCUCAUCAGUCCGGGACAUAAAGAACCAAUUGCACCUCCCGGGCAAGUGGUGUGAGGACAAAGAACGCCAAGAGCCUCAGAAGAAGUUGUCAGUAGGUGUUGGCUAUUUAGAUUAUUUUAAAAUGUGAGCUACAAAUCACAGUAGCAUUUCUGUCUAGAGCCAAGAUGACCCCUAUUUAACCUUACACUGCCUUGUUCAUUUUCCUGUGAGAUUCCUGUGAUCUGAGAGCCAUCACUCCAGCUGUCAGAUUUCAAAUGAGCACCCAAAUUUCUGCCGCUGUUAGAUGAAAAUUGACUCUUUGCUCCUGGUGGCCAAAUUCAACAGAGCUUAAAGUUCAAGGUUGCAGUCACCAUACAUCUGAAAAUUUCCAAAUCAAUUUCAGACUGAUUUCUCAGAUCUGAAAAUAGAGCAGAGGAUUUGGAAAACAUUUACAGUUAUUCUAAUGAGUCACGUGGUUUCCUAAUGACAUCUCCCUCAAACGUCAGAAAGUUUCUACCACAAUUUCUGUUGACUAAAAAUAAAUGUUUGUCCCACUGCGUAUUUAUCUGCCCAUACACAAGAUUAUCAAAUCCUCACAAAUGUCCUCACCUUCACCCUUCACCCCAGUUUCCUGAGCCAGGCACAGUUGGGAUGUUACCCCUUUGUUGAUGGACAAUGUUUCCCCAGCAGAAAACUACUAAGCCUUUGAUUUCCAAGCAAAACUCUGUUGUGCUGGGGAGCAGCUUGGGGGCUUUUGUGCCAGCAGAAGGCAUCAAAACCUGAAAAUGGAACAAAAUUGCUGUAACAAGGAAAGUGUCAACUCCACCUCUUGUCCAAUGGACACUCCAAGAGAAUAAUGAACGGAUGAUAGGGAUCAUCUGUCAAAAGGUUCUGGUUUCCAGAUAGUUAUAGCCAAUUUAUUUCAUAUAUAGAGAGAGCUACUUUAUUUUACCAGCAAAUAAACCAGGAUAGGCAGAGGUGAUUUUAUUUUGAUUUCUUCACAAUCUUCCUUAUUCCCAGUUGCUCCUUUUCUUGUCACUAUUCCAAAACUGAUCCAUGCUGACUCAGCAGAGUGGUUCUAGCCAACAUUUUCUGUUGGAUCAAAAAAUCUGGACGUAUAAAGCCUGACAGGGCUCUUCUUUACCUUGAGGCAUCUCCAGCCUCCUCUGUGUCCUUGUAAGGUCCUUGCAGGGCUCCCUUGCCAAGGCUAAGGUAACGCUCCCUCCACUGGUGCUCUCUGUCCAGUGAGAGGCAGAAAACAGGGAGCUUCUCCGCUGUCAGAGAAUCUAGCCCUGAUUUUAGGUGAUUCCAGGACCCCAGGGGUUAAGCACCUAAGUCUUCUCUCCUGGGAUGCUGCCCUGUUUCUGGCUCAUCUCAGAGCAGGACUGAGCUUCUGUUCAAAGCUGCAGCCACCUGGGUGGGAAAGACAUUGGGCCCAGGUGAGAGUAGCUCUGAGGACCCUCAGGAUCAUGAAAAAGAUAGCAACUUCACUUUUCUAGGAGUUUCUUCAUGGACUUGAAAAUCAAAUCCAUAGGAUUAAAGGUGGGGGAAGGGUAAGUGUAAGGCAGUGCCUUCUGGGUGGAGAGGUAAAAAUAAUAAGGUUCCCCAGAGCAGGGCUGGGAAGAGUUUACUCUAACAUUUUUAUGAGUUAUCUGGAAGACAGAGAGCACUGUAAAAUCUCCAAACUCCUAGGAAUGAACCCCGGGAAGAUCCUGAGGCACUGUGGUAAAUGAAUUUAAACGGUAACAUGAAAUUCAAAAGGGCAAGGGUGAAUAUAAUGCUCCUCAGUUAUGAUGACCCAAAUACACUCAUAGGAGAAUGGGCAUCAAUUCACACUCAGGAAGCAAACCUACAGUUAUCCCUAAAGAUAUCUG
rnacentral:lncRNA from 10 species